CCCGAGGAAAAGAAAUCAACCGAGAUUCCCCCAGUAGCGGCGAGCGAACGGGGAGCAGCCCAGAGCCUGAAUCAGUGUGUGUGUUAGUGGAAGCGUCUGGAAAGGCGCGCGAUACAGGGUGACAGCCCCGUACACAAAAAUGCACAUGCUGUGAGCUCGAUGAGUAGGGCGGGACACGUGGUAUCCUGUCUGAAUAUGGGGGGACCAUCCUCCAAGGCUAAAUACUCCUGACUGACCGAUAGUGAACCAGUACCGUGAGGGAAAGGCGAAAAGAACCCCGGCGAGGGGAGUGAAAAAGAACCUGAAACCGUGUACGUACAAGCAGUGGGAGCCUCUUUAUGGGGUGACUGCGUACCUUUUGUAUAAUGGGUCAGCGACUUAUAUUCUGUAGCA
rnacentral:rRNA from 1 species